GAGGUUUACAAGCAGACUUUCGAAAAAGCCUUCCUCCUUUCCCUCUGACAACACCGGUCAGUGGGACUGGUCCAGCUAGUGACUCCCCAGAUAUACACGACUCUACACGAAAUGGCACCAGCUGUAUAACUAAGUGGCCUUAGUGCUCCUCUGCUGGAAAAAGUUGGUUAGAAGAGGAGCUGAUUGGUAGAAGACUGGAGGUGAAAAUGGAAUCAUAAUUUAGGUACCAAGGAAAACUCUCAUCAAGUCCUUCUGAUGAUCACACACUAGGAGACUCUCGCAGAACAAAAACAAAUGCAAGGGACCCAGCAUCUGGAAUUGUCCGCCUUGUGAGGCAGAGCUCGCCCCCCAAUCUAGAAGCUUAAAUCAACAGAAACUCUCUGCCCACCGUUGCAGCCAGCACCAGGGUGUAGGCUCUGUUAAUCAGAUGCACUGGCUCCUGUUUUAAUGGGAACCCACUGACUUGAAGAAGGAAGAACUCUAAGAAAUCUACUCUGGGAGUGAGGCAGCGGCUGUUACCUUUUCAUACUCUCAGAAAAAAAAAAUGCCCUGCACAGCUUGGACAGCUAAGCAACAUUACCCCCACCACUGACGGCUGAAAUACCGACAUUGCAUCUACACAGAGUUGGCUGUGAACAAAGCAGGAUGCAGCGCAGCACGUCAGGGGCCCGCUGCUGCGCAAAGGGCCAGGGUUUGCAGGUCAGCUCUUCCCUCCCACAGGCUGUGGCUUGUGUUCUGGUCUUUUCUACAUGUCUUCUCAUUCCGGCACUCAGGACAAGGAAGCAGUCAUUAUCUGGUGCUUGCCGUUUCCAUGGUUGAGGACAGGAGCUCAAGGAGGGCAGAGACAAACCACGCACAGGCAUUUGCUUCUGUUGCAGCAAAUGUUGGAGGUGGCAUAUGUCAGGUUUGCUCCCAUUCCAUUAUUUAAAGGCAGUCUCGCGGCCAAGUUCACAGUCAAUGCGGAUCUGCCAGGACAUCACAGCAAGUUGGAGAGGAGAUGAAUAAUUACAAACAAAUAGUUGUUACAUAGUCUAUUUUUGUGUGUUUGUUCUUUGGCGAUGGAGUCAUUAAAUCAGAAGGGCUACAAAAUGGUGCUGUUUUAAUCCUACCAUUUUUUCUAUCUUUAUGAGCUGGGAUAGUGUAUAAAGAGGAACUUCUCUUUAACUAUUUGUCUUAAGCUACAGUUUGUAAAGGAAAGGCAAGAUGAACACUUGAUGCUUUCUCUUUAAUUGCUUAUUAUUAAAAUAAAGUUGCUCCUGUCUUUCAAAGAGACUCAUGAGUACUUUGAAGUGGGGGUGUCCUUGUGAACUCAUGGAUUUAUAUAUAUUUGACACAUUUCAAUCUAUUGACGUUAUCCUUAUGGAUGCUAGCUUUGUUAAAUGAUCGCAUCGUCGACCAUUGGGAGCCUAUUCAAGUUCCUGACUCCCUUGACCAUGAUCCUCGCGGUCUUGCACCCUGUCUUUGCUUUCUGGUAUGAGAUAUUUCAGGUUCGUCCUGUUCAUUUUCUGCCCCAGACCUGGAAUCUGACAUUUCUCCAAGGAACUAGUUUCUUUUGGUGGAAAAUGGUAUUUAGAGUCUAUAAUCUUGGCACUAGAAGUGUUCUUUGCAACUGGGUUAGUCAUUGUUUCUAGGCCUUUUUAGUGUACAGAGUUUUAAAAAAUGUAUUUUGAUUUUAGAUAAAAAUACAUCGUGAGUUCAUAUUAGUAUUUCCAAUCCAAAGUCAGGGUUUUUGCCUGG